UUUUUUUUUCCUGUUCUUAUGAUAAUUCACUUUUGUUCAAAAUCUUCACUUUACCUUCCCACAGCCCAAAACGCUGCUCGCUCCCCGGUCAUCUCUGUUGUUUCUCUUCCAAUCCAAUCUGCCAUCGGCAGCAAAACCCCCAAAAAUGCAAGAAAGAACCCACGAAGGCCAAGCUGAAUCUUCUGCAAACCAAGCUGAAUUUUCAGCUUUGGAGCCAUUGUUAUUAGCACAACACAAGAGAAAGGAAUUCCAGUCCCAACCCGAACUAAUUAAUGGUAUUUUUCCUGAUGAAAUUAUGGCUGAUAUACUCACAAGGCUUCCAGUCAAAUCCCUGAUGAGGUUCAGCUGUGUUUCAAAAUCUUGGCAUUCCUUGAUGUCCGACCCCAAUUUCAUCAAAUCCCAUAUCAAGAAAUGUGCUGAAAACAAGGAAAAUGAGCAUCAUAGGCUCAUUUUGGUUACGGUUACGGAUGAUGAGGAGCAAAAGAGGAAAGGGCUCAGACUCAAGAAGUUUGAGUGUUCCUUUCAAACUGCGUUUUCCUGGGCAUCAUCCAAGAAAAAUGAGGAUCAGGUAACCUACGAUUUUAUUAUCAGUCCCGCUAUUGUCUCCGACGACAUGUGUAGAUAUAAGAUUCUGGGUUCUUGUUAUGGGUUGGUUUUAAUCACGAUUGCUGCAGAAAAUAUGUUUUUGUGGAAUCCAGCUACAAGAAAAUCUAGAAAAUUGCCUCAUUGUGGUUGGAAAGAGGAGCAUAAAGCUAUCAAUUUUCAGGACUUGUCAUUUGCGAUUGGUUAUGAUGAGUCUAAUGGUGAUUACAUGAUACUUGGACUUUCCUGUGUUGUCAAUGAUAGGCUAGAAUAUGAGACUGUGGCCAAGGUUUAUAGUGGGAAGACGGAUUCUUGGAAGAAGAUUGAGCAUUUCAAGUACAGUUUGAUUGAUGACAUCUGUUCUGGAAGUUACUUUUUGAAUGGGAAGUUCCACUUCAUUGCAUAUGAGAUUUUAAGUCGUGGUACUGAUGGUACAAAUUUUGAGCGAAUAAUUGUUAGUCUUGAUUUGGCAGAUGACAUUUAUGGACAGAUAGAAACGCCUGAAGAUGAGAAUUUCGGUCAUGAGUGGAACUUAGGAACGCUAGGAGGAUGCCUUUCUUUGUUGCAUUGUUCCAUAGGGAAUCAGGAUGAGGUGGAACUGUGGGUCAUGAAGGAGUAUGGAGUAAGAGGAUCUUGGACUAAAAUGGUUGUGAUUUCUGGUUGUCAGGGACCUGGUUGUCGUUUAUUCAGAAAGCCUUUGAUUUUAUCAAAGGAUGGUCAACUUCUGUUCGUGAAUUGGUCAUAUCUGAAGUUAGGAGUUUAUGAUCCAAAUCAGAAUUCACACCAUUAUCCUCAGUUUAGUAACUCAGAAGGUCUUUACGGAGCAGAUGUGUAUGUUGAAAGCUUAAUUUCUCCCUGAUGCCGUUGAUGGAGUUCAAAGGGACUGUAAGGGGGAAAAAAAGGUAGAGUAGACUUUGGACUCAUUUCAACAGUUGAAUUUGGGGUUGGUCAACUAGUCAUCAGUUUUAUUCUCUUGCUGCUCAAGAAAUCCUGUCAAUUUCAAUUUAUCCUGUUCAAAUGAGACAACUUCUGAGAACUUGACACCAGACCAUUAUCUUGUUUCAGACAUGUUCGGGACUAAUUCUUUGGUCAUAGAUUAUGCACAUCAGUAACAUCUGUGGUUGCUAUAUCCCCAGUCAGAGCAAAAGAACCCUCUCCUGCUGCCAUUGAUGUUGAAUGUCCAAUAUAUCCAUGUUUAUUUAGAGCAUGUUUCACUGCAUGGACUACAGAGUCAGAACGGUCAUGAAGUUCAACUGCUAGUUAUAGUAAAGAACAUUUUGCGAACUUCAGAUUCUUGAGAACCAUUUUGAAGAAACAGCCAGGGAAGUUUGAUGAGAUGCAUAUGAUGAAAUGAAGUAUCUUCUUGGAGCUUCAGUCAACGAAGCAGGAAUAUUGAUUUUCUCUCUCUCUGGCUUCUGCGUGCGAAAUGGUAGAAGACUCGACCAAAGGUUCAAAGAACUGGAGGUUGCGCUUUUUCCUCCCUACAAGAUUUUUGAGAAACUUUAAUUUUUUACUCCCUUAUUGGCAUUAUAGCGACCUCAGUACUUGAAAUCAGAAAUCAUGUAUUGGUCUCAUUCCAGUAUACAUUUUCUUGAAUCGGUUGACCUCUUUGAAAUUUGAUCGAAAGAGAAAUUUCUUGGCUAUCA